AGUUCUGAUGAUGAUAUCCCAUGCGUGUCAUCUGAGGCCCAUGUCUCUCUGCAGCAGCUCUUUGGUCUGCGUCCUGCAGGCCAGAACAGUCUGGGGCAGAGGAUUCUGGGGAAAAUGAUCACCAUUUAUAUCUGAAAACU